GUUAUAAGAACCUGUUGGUUCUAUCAGUAUAAAGGGUGUUAUAAGAACCCGUUGGUUCUAUCUGUAUAAAGGGCGUUAUAAGAACCC